UGGGGAAUAUUGCACAAUGGGCGAAAGCCUGAUGCAGCGACGCCGCGUGAGGGAUGAAGGCCUUCGGGUUGUAAACCUCUUUCAGCAGGGAAGAAGCGAAAGUGACGGUACCUGCAGAAGAAGCACCGGCUAACUACGUGCCAGCAGCCGCGGUAAUACGUAGGGUGCGAGCGUUGUCCGGAAUUAUUGGGCGUAAAGAGCUUGUAGGCGGUUUGUCGCGUCUGCUGUGAAAAUCCGGGGCUCAACCCCGGACUUGCAGUGGGUACGGGCAGACUAGAGUGUGGUAGGGGAGACUGGAAUUCCUGGUGUAGCGGUGAAAUGCGCAGAUAUCAGGAGGAACACCGAUGGCGAAGGCAGGUCUCUGGGCCACUACUGACGCUGAGAAGCGAAAGCGUGGGGAGCGAACA
rnacentral:rRNA from 1 species